CUUGCUUAAUGCCGCACCAGCGGCAGCGGGAGACCCGACUAUGGGGUGCAUCCGGCUUCAAAACCGGUAGGAGACCUUCUUCUCCGAACCCGACAGCUAAUCUCGUCAGCGUAAGAGGGAA
rnacentral:sRNA from 1 species